UACGAAGGGGGCUAGCGUUGCUCGGAAUCACUGGGCGUAAAGCGCACGUAGGCGGAUCGUUAAGUCAGGGGUGAAAUCCUGGAGCUCAACUCCAGAACUGCCUUUGAUACUGGCGACCUUGAGUUCGGGAGAGGUGAGUGGAACUGCGAGUGUAGAGGUGAAAUUCGUAGAUAUUCGCAAGAACACCAGUGGCGAAGGCGGCUCACUGGCCCGAUCUGACGCUGAGGUGCGAAAGCGUGGGGAGCAAACAGG
rnacentral:rRNA from 1 species